GGAGAUCCUCACACAAGUACUCCUCACGUCACUCUCACUCCAUUCAAAAAAGUUCCACUCAUUAAUAUUAUUGCUUUUUCUCUCAGACUCUCUCUCUCUGGUGCUCUAAGGCAAUAAAAAGAAAACGAAAAAUGAAAAAAGAAAGAAGAAACCUUUUCCUUUUCUCCUUCACUCCCUCAUUCACCUCUCUCUGCUCUCUCACGAAAAAAGAUCAUUU
rnacentral:lncRNA from 1 species